AUAAGAUGGAAACGGAUAGAGCUGACGUAUCUAGCUUGUAUUCAGCUGUUCGCCCGGCCGGAGUUGAUUGUUUUAGUCCCGCUUUAAGGGCUAAAAUAAUUGGCUGCCGUUUCGCAACCGGCCGGUUACGAGCAGUGCAUUUGCAAGUGGAGUGCGCCGAGGCGUGUUGGCUAGCGAUUGGAAGCCAGUCUAGAGGAUAUUUGCUUUACGGCGAGUAAACCCUGGGCCGGUGAAAGAUUGUUUAGUUGGCAUUGCAGUUUCGCGGUUACGGCCUACGUGCACAAUUUAAGUUGGUUAGGUGUCUGGUGGCGGUCGCAUGCGACCACGUGCCUGUUCUAUUUGGCUAACUUAGCUUGGGUACUCGUAACCCGGACCUCGGUGUAAAAGUCGGUCAUCUAUCCGACCCGUCUUGAAACACGGACCAAGGAGUUUAGCGUGUGCGCGAGUCAUUGAGUGUUAAAAACUCAAAGGCGUAAUGAAAGUAAAGGCUUCUUUAAUGUUGCUUAUAUGCGAUCCGGUUGGCUUCGGCUUGCCGGCGCAGCAUAGCCCCGCUCUGAUUGCUUGCAAUAGGGCGGAGGUAGAGCGUAUGCGCUGAGACCCGAAAGAUGGUGAACUAUGCCUGAGCAGGAUGAAGCCAGAGGAAACUCUGGUGGAAGUCCGAAGCGGUUCUGACGUGCAAAUCGAUCG
rnacentral:rRNA from 1 species